rnacentral:rRNA from 1 species
GACAUAGGGUGCAAACGUUGUUCGGAAUUACUGGGCGUAAAGCGCGUGUAGGCGGCUCUGCAAGUCGGAUGUGAAAGCCCUGGGCUCAACCUAGGAAGUGCACUCGAAACUGCAGAGCUCGAGUCUCGGAGAGGAUCGCGGAAUUCUCGGUGUAGAGGUGAAAUUCGUAGAUAUCGAGAGGAACACCGGUGGCGAAGGCGGCGAUCUGGACGAUGACUGACGCUGAGACGCGAAAGCGUGGGGAGCAAACAGG